rnacentral:rRNA from 1 species
CUACCCGCUCCGCGAGUGGUGAGGACUAUUACUGGGCUUAAAGCGCCCGUAGCCGGCCGGGUGUGUCCUCCGUUAAAUCCACAGGCCUAACCUGUGGGCUGCGGGGGAUACUACCCGGCUUGGGGGUGGGAGAGGGCGGCGGUAUUCCCGGGGUAGGGGUAAAAUCCACUGAGCCCGGGAGGACCACCAGUGGCGAAGGCGGCCGCCCAGAACACGCCCGACGGUGAGGGGCGAAAGCUGGGGGAGCAAACGGGAUUAGAAACCCUAGUAGUCC